rnacentral:rRNA from 1 species
UAGCCCUUAAAAUGGGAGGCGCUAUAGCGUUGUGCCUAUACCGGGCCGUCGGUCGGCAGUGCGAUACAUCUCCUCUCGAAGAGAGAGCAGAGGUGCUGAGGCCCCGACGAGUAGGGGGGUCGCGACGGUGAGCGUUGAAGGGUUAUGGGCGCGAGCCUGCCCGGAGCCGCCGUCGGUGCAGAUCUUGGUGGUAGUAGCAAAUACUCCAGAGGGAUCCUGGAGGACUGACGCGGAGAAGGGUUUCAUGUGAACAGUGGUUGGACAUGAGUCAGUCGAUCCUAAGCCGCAGGAGAAAUCCGACCUAGUGAAUGGCGUGAUUUAUUAAAAAAGACUCGUUGUGGCCUAUCGGCCGCGACGAUGAAUUUUUAUAUAUCAGAGGCGCUUGCUUGGUUAAGGCGAAAGGGAAUCCGGUCCUAAUUCCGGAACCAGGCUGUGGCUACGUCCGACGAACAACGAAUUAACCCUCGUUUUCUCGGUCGCGGUAACGCGACACAAACCGAAGAAGCUGUCGAGAACCCCGGGAAGAGUUUUCUUUUCUGCUUGAGGGACCGAGACCCUGGAAUUCCGUCGUGGAGCGAGAGGGUUUUGGAUACACGCUGUUAAAAAGGCGAUCCCGAAGAGCGCCGCGUUUCCGCGGCGUCCGUGGUCGUUCUCGACUGGCCCUUGAAAAUUCGGUGGGAGGGUUACGUUUUUGGACGUUCACGCCUGCUCGUACCGAUAUCCGCAUCAGGUCUCCUAGGUGAACAGCCUCUAGUCGAUAGAUGAAUGUAGGUAAGGGAAAUCG